rnacentral:snRNA from 1 species
GUGCUCGCUUUGAGAGCACAUAUAUUUAAAUUGGAAUGAUGCAGAGAAGAUUAGCAUGGCCCCUGCACAAGGAUGACACGCACAUUCGUGAAGCAUUCUAGUUUUUU